CCUUCAUCUGCACCAAGUAAGUAUUUUAUGGUGCAAGGGGUUAAUGGGUUUACAUCACUGGUUGAUUUAGGAGAGCAAGACAUUAAGACAAUGCAAGUUUUUUGCAAAUUAAAGUUAUGCCCCAUUUACAUUCCACAUUGUUAAAGUUACUUGUCCCUCCUUCCCCCAGUAUGAUAGUUAUGCUAUACAUGAUCUGGCCUGGCAUAUAACCUGUUUAUUUUCAGCAGAGCACAUUUAGGUAGGUUUUGAAUACAAGUGAUUUUUCCUGGGUUAGUCUGAGUACUACUUUGACCCUGGUUCUUUCUAAGUGAGGACAAAAGUUUAUUGUGUCUAGCUGCGGCAAGGUCAAUAUGGGAGUCGGUAACUGGUUCAGCAUCAAAUUUGGGCAAAGGAGACUGUGUUUCGUGUUCCUCAGCACUUACCUGACGCAGAAGGCAAGGAGGCCCAUAGCCAAGUUUACGAGAAGAGAUCAGUCAGUGGCACUACAAGAAUAGCCAUUCUGUCUACAGAUACCCUGAAGCAUCACUACCAGUUCAUGAAGAAUUCAGGCAAGCCUAUCAAGUGCAACUCGGGAGAGUUUCGGACUUACAAAAGGUCAUUGUCCUCCUUGGUCAUGGUGCAAGCACUCACACGUCAAGAGACUUAAGUACCUGAGGUUAGAUCCAUUCAGUAUUUUAUUCAGCCCACUCAGCACCAGUGAGGUAAAGUGUUUAGCGACUUUGGUAUGGGUGCAUCAGACCCCUGGAUGUCAUCACCAGUAGGAGUUUGAGGACGUGUCUCUCCUAUGAGCACUCAUGAUAGAAUGAAGCAUGGCUCAGGGAAGGGGCUUUCAGGUACCACCAGAAAUAUAUUAUAAACUAACCAACUAAUGUGUGUACUGUUUAUACAAAUGUUAUCUUUGUUGUGGGAGCAUAUUAGUUAUUUUUAUUGCAGGAGUAUGGACAUCUUGUAGAGAAUUCUGUAUUCUUGAUUGGCAACCAAGAGGACAUGUGACAAUGUACAUAGAUGUCACUGGAAAAAUCUGCACAUUUGAGGAUAAUCCAUUAGGGAAGUAUAAAACCAUUGUGGUUCUGUACUUCCCUAAGGUUACACCACAUACCCAAUGUGAGAUAUUGUAUGUUUGAUGCACUGAAAGAAGGUGAGAGGUUUCUAGUGUUAUUUUAUGUGAAAAUUAAGUUAAUCCUCUGAUCCAUUGUGUGUGGAGGGUGACCAUCCAAGGUACAGUGAGUACUGGAUUAUAUUAUUAAAGGGAUGAUAUAUUCAGGGACAUGUUUUGAGUGAGCAGCAGCAGUUAGAGGUAGUAGUGAGAAGUUAGGUGCCUGCCAUUAUAAAUACCCCCCCCCCCUCCAAGUCACAGUGCCAAGUUUAUUUUCAGUCACCGUACCAUGGAUGGUUUUGGCCAUGACCAUGGCUUCCCUGGGUCCAUGAGGCGAGGUCAGGUGCAGUAAGAUUAGGAGGAAGUGAGCAAAUGGCAGAAUCGAGGUUUGGGGAACAGCAGCCCAGUAGAAGCAAUCUCAGUAACCUUGCACUGUAGUUCUUCAGAUGGUCAUAGGGACCUGGACUAAUUCCCACAGGACUGCAAGGUGAGGUAAAGUGCAGUAGAUAUAUCUUCCAUUAAGUGGAACUGGGGCACAGAGUAAGAUAAGCUGCUGUGUACAACAUUCAUCAGGCUGCCUGCCUAUGGCUGCAUUUCCUCCAAGAAUUUGGAGAUCCCAAUCUCAACUGUACUAUUUGCUCACCUAGCACUACAUCUCAUGCAAUUUACCUUGGCUCAUGGCCCUGGGAAAAUUGUGGAGCCAGGUAACUGCACCCAGGCUGUAUACUGCUGCCUCAGGAACCAUGACUCUGUUGCUAUUUGUUCACCUCCCAUUAAACGUACUGCAUCUGAUCUCGCUCUUUUUGUCCCAUUGACUGCAUUCUUGGGUAUGCACAGUCCUGAAUAUUCAACAACUAGGUUUCCCUUCUGCAUGCCCUGUUUCCUCUAGCCCCAUCUCUGAGCUAAUGGCAGAGAUAAGAUCAGAGGAGCUAUGGCAUGUAGCACAGUUCUAAAAAACUGUUUAUCAUUCCCUGGGUGGCUGUGGAUGCCCAGACUCACGGUUCACCCAGAGCCACAAAAUGAGAUCAGGUGCAGUAGGUUUAGUAAGUGCUUAGCAGAUGGUAGAGAUGAAACCAAGGAAACCACAGCCUGGAGAAACCUUAGAUAUCAAGAGGCUGCAUUUGUCCAGGUGCAUGUGGAUACCUGGGGCUGUGAUUCCCAGGAUGACAGGUUUCCCUGAAUGGCCACAGGUAUGUACAGAGCUUUCCCAGGUGGCUGCAAAACCUUGGAAAUCUGUAGCGAGUAUGUUUACUCGCUACAGAAGUGAGUAAACAUUAUACUCACUCCAAAUCUAAUUUUUUUGCAGAGUCACAGAGGCAAAGAGGUUGAAUUUUGCUUACUAAUGCAGUUGAAGAGAGCAACUCACCACUAUGAACUAGUAUUACAUGUUUUUUCUAGAGUGCCACACAAAAUAAAAUAACUUUCUACUUCACUGCUGUUAAUGUCUCAAAAACUUUUAUAAUUCCAGAUCACCUGACUGUCUCACAGAAUAAACAGAGAUUUGUGUUACAUGCCUUGAGAUCAAAGUGUGGUAGUAAAGAAGGAGUGUGACUACUGUCAUUAUCUACAAUGUACUGCAGCCACAAGAACAACAACUACAACUACUUCCAGACGUCUAGACAGUACCUCCAGUCUCCCCCCUUCACCACAGCCCGUCACCUCACCUGGGAGCUCACGCCACCGGCCGAAACAAGCAGUUAACGAGCCGGUUCAUAGUUAAAGAAGCUACCAGCACCACCUGCAGUCGUAUACUUUAAAGAUACCACUUUACCUUGGAGAAAGUUGAGUAGUGUAGACCGACCCUAGCUUUUCAGCAUGUGAGGUUGAAGGGCCCACGGAGUUAAACUCAACCAGGGUGGGGGCUGUGAUCGAGGUAGCAAUCGUAGUUUCCAUAGCUUCUGGAAGUCCCAAGAACACAAGAGUCCUAAGUUUUUCUUUUUUCUUGCGAAGCGAAACGUGUUUGUAGCGGGGGAGGUGGUCUGGUGGCCAAGCAAAAAUUUUUUCCUUUGACUUGUGAAGCGGAGCGUGACUGGAGCAAGAGAGAACGCAUGACCUCUCCUCUCUUCUUUAUAUAGGCCCCCACGGCGCUCUGCACGCUGCGCUGCGGAUCGCGCUGUGCAACUGUCUUUCUACUCCAUCAGAAAUUCCUCCGCAUUCCUACAUAAUGCAGCGGUCAUUUCUGGCCUGCAUAGUUAAGAUGGGAAGAUCAACUUUGCUGUGUGUGUUGCUGUGUUGGACUCUUCUGUGUGAGUGUCAGUCAGACAGGAGUCAAGCCAGUACAUCAAGAUGCUGGACUACUGUACACGACGAAGACCCCCCGCCGGCGCCAGCACCCGAGGACUUCGCCAUGAUGGUGCGAUACGUUGUCGAGUUCGCUAAACUGAUAAAUGUGAACGAAAUAUAUUUUUGCGUGACGCAAGAAUCAGGUAAGUUUACCUGUCGGGUAAUUUAUGAUUCCUAUGUUAUUUAACGCAGUUACCACAGGCUUGUGGAGUCCCCAAGCCAAGUUAGUCUUGAUAGGCUAGUUACACAGUUUAAUAUAUAUUAUAUCAACAACGGGUUCAAGGAUGACCACAAGUACAGUCUCUCAUCUACACAAACAAUCCAUCUAUCCACCGCAACUCGGUUGAGCACCCCUUGAUCUCUUGUGGUAAAAAAAACUGAAGCUUGUCUUUUAUUCUAAUGGGUUCCAAGCCUGCAGCCUGCCAUCUAGUGGUAAAGAUUGUAAUUAUUGUGGGAGAGUUACCAUGAUGCACCUUUACUAAUAUUACCCUCAUUUUAUGUGUACUCACUGUACACAUACUUAUGUACUCACUGUGUGGGGGUGGGUUCCCUGUGCUAGUGGACUUGUAGGUGUUUAUUGGUUCUGUCGUUAUCUUCCCUUAACCCCCAGCUCUCACCACCACCCUCACUCUGACUCGCAUCAUCAUUCCUUAACCACACAUGCUCCUGUUGCCACUCUCCUUCCCCGGAGGCGAUCUUGUUACCAUCUCGAAGGAUGAAAAAAAAAAUCAAGGCCCAGGUUGAAGUAAAAAAAAGCCAACCCUCCUAACCCCGCCACCAGAGCCCCUGACGAUAUACCCAACACCCCAGCUCCCACCAACCAACUAGAAGACUUUCCAGUCUUACCAACAGUGGUUCCUCCCCACCAGUCGACCCAUCCUUCACAAUGGGGACCCAAGGUCCAACCAGCACCCCUCGCCGCCCCUUGCAUCAUGUGCAGGCAUUAUCCCUGGCCUCAUACGACUGGCGGAGAGGCUUGCCGGACCACCACCGAUUCAUCAGGGAACUGAAUGUGCUGUACAUAGCCAAUGGCCUGGACCCCAUCACAGCCCCUGACGCAAGUCUCACUACCUCCCUCCCAUACCACACAGGGGACUUCCACAAGGUCGACCAGUAGGAAAGGGAACUAUCAGAAGAAAGCGCCAAGCCAUUACGACUAUAUA